rnacentral:lncRNA from 1 species
AAAAAGAAAAGAAUGGGGAUGGGGCAGGAUGGUGCUAGCAUAUAUAAGACUGAAACACCAAAGUCCUCCGUGGAAGUUAAUGAAUUUCUAAUAGUGAAAUAAGGUGGCCAAGGAGGCAGAGAUGGAGUCAGGGACUCUGUGAUCAACCCUGAGGAUUGGGAAGGAACUAUACAUACCAGGAGGCAAGGAGCACUGGGGGCCCUCCUGGAACUGCCUGUCACAGCGUCCUCAAAGCAGUAUGAUGGUACUUCCAGUACCCCAGUGACACCUAGCCUGAGAAAGAAGCAGAGAUAAAGUCUAUAGAGGAAGAGAGCAUCUGAAUGACGUUUGAGUCCCUGGAUCCACUGUGUGAAGCCAGAGCCACUCCUGCAAGUGUUUUGUUUAGGUUUAAAUUUGAUUGAGAUUUUUAUUACUUCAAAGUAAAAAAUUCUUACUAAUGCAAUGCCUUCAGCCUUCCACCUCAAAGUCACUGAAAGGAUCUUAAUAUUUU